rnacentral:rRNA from 1 species
AUUGAACGCUGGCGGCAUGCCUUACACAUGCAAGUCGAACGGCAGCACGGGGGCAACCCUGGUGGCGAGUGGCGAACGGGUGAGUAACAUAUCGGAACAUACCCUAGAGUGGGGGAUAACGUAGCGAAAGUUACGCUAAUACCGCAUACGAUCUAAGGAUGAAAGUGGGGGAUCUUCGGACCUCAUGCUCAUGGAGUGGCCGAUAUCUGAUUAGCUAGUUGGUGAGGUAAAGGCUCACCAAGGCGACGAUCAGUAGCUGGUUUGAGAGAACGACCAGCCACACUGGAACUGAGACACGGUCCAGACUCCUACGGGAGGCAGCAGUGGGGAAUUUUGGACAAUGGGGGCAACCCUGAUCCAGCAAUGCCGCGUGAGUGAAGAAGGCCUGGUCGUAAGACUCUUUGUUCAGGAGAACGGUAGAGUUCGUAAUACAGACUU